UAGUCCACGCCCUAAACGAUGGAUACUAGUCGUCGGGUUUCCUAAUAGACUCGGUGACGUAGCUAACGCAUUAAGUAUCCCGCCUGGGGAGUACGGUCGCAAGAUUAAAACUCAAAGGAAUUGACGGGGGCCCGCACAAGCGGUGGAGCAUGUGGUUUAAUUCGAUGCUACGCGAAAAACCUUACCUGGGCUUGACAUCCCGCGCUACCCUGGGAAACCAGGGGUUCUCUUCGGAGACGCGGUGACAGGUGCUGCAUGGCUGUCGUCAGCUCGUGUUGUGAGAUGUUGGGUUAAGUCCCGCAACGAGCGCAACCCUUGUCUUUAGUUGCCAUCAUUUAGUUGGGCACUCUAGAGAAACUGCCGGUGACAAACCGGAGGAAGGUAAGGAUGACGUCAAGCCAGCAUGCCCCUUACGCUCUGGGCUACACACGUGCUACAAUGGUCGUGACAAAGAGUUGCUAGUCUGCGAAGGCAAGCCAAUCUCAUAAACGCGGCCUUAGUUCGGAUUGCAGG
rnacentral:rRNA from 1 species